UAAGGAGGGCGCAGGCGUUGCUCGGAAUCACUGGGCGUAAAGCGCGUGUAGACGGCUUGGUAAGUCGGGUGUGAAAGCCCGGGGCCUAACCCCGGAACUGCACUCGAAACUGCCUCGCUCGAGUCCCGGAGAGGAUGGUGGAAUUCCCGGUGUAGUGGUGAAAUACGUAGAUAUCGGGAGGAACACCAGCGGCGAAGGCGGCCAUCUGGACGGUGACUGACGCUGAGACGCGAAAGCGUGGGGAGCAAACAGG
rnacentral:rRNA from 1 species